UACGUAGGGAGCGAGCGUUGUCCGGAUUCAUUGGGCGUAAAGAGCUCGUAGGCGGCUUGAUAAGUCGGAUGUGAAACCUCCAGGCUCAACCUGGGAGUCGCCAUCCGAUACUGUCAUGGCUAGAGUCCGGGUAGGGGCCCACGGAAUUCCUGGUGUGAGCGGUGAAAUGCGCAGAUAUCAGGAGGAACACCGGUGGCGAAGGCGGUGGGCUGGGCCGGCACUGACGCUGGAGGAGCGAAAGCGUGGGGAGCAAACAGG
rnacentral:rRNA from 1 species